rnacentral:rRNA from 1 species
AAUCAACGCUGGCGGCGUGCCUCAGACAUGCAAGUCGAACGCGAAAGUUCCCUUCGGGGGCGAGUAGAGUGGCGCACGGGUGAGUAACACGUAGGUAAUCUACCUUUGGGUGGGGAAUAACAGCCGGAAACGGCUGCUAAUACCGCAUAAUGCAGCGGCUCGACAUCGAGACAGUUGUUAAAGCGGGGGAUCGCAAGACCUCGCGCCUAAAGAGGAGCCUGCGGCGGAUUAGCUUGUUGGUGAGGUAAUGGCUCACCAAGGCAUCGAUCCGUAGCCGGCCUGAGAGGGCGGUCGGCCACACUGACACUGACAUACGGGUCAGACUCCUACGGGAGGCAGCAGUCGGGAAUUUUGGGCAAUGGGCGCAAGCCUGACCCAGCAACGCCGCGUGAAGGAUGAAAUCCCUCGGGAUGUAAACUUCGCAAGAACAGGAAGAAUAAGUGGGGAC